rnacentral:rRNA from 1 species
ACAAAAACAUCGCCUCUUGCAAAAGCAAAGAAUAAGAGGUCCCGCCUGCCCUGUGACUAUUAGUUUAACGGCCGCGGUAUUUUGACCGUGCAAAGGUAGCGCAAUCACUUGUCUUUUAAAUGAAGACCUGUAUGAAUGGCAUAACGAGGGCUUAACUGUCUCCUCUUUCUGGUCAAUGAAAUUGAUCUCCCCGUGCAGAAGCGGGGAUAAAUCCAUAAGACGAGAAGACCCUAUGGAGCUUUAGACACCAAGGAAGAUCCUGUCAAAACCCACCAAAAAUGGAAAGAACUAAUGGAUACCUCCUUCCCUAAUGUCUUUGGUUGGGGCGACCGCGGGGGAACAAGAAGCCCCCACGUGGAAUGGGAAAACACCUUUCCUACAGCCCAGAGCCACAGCUCGAGGCAACAGAACUUCUGACCAUCAAGAUCCGGCAAAGCCGAUCAACGGACCGAGUUACCCUAGGGAUAACAGCGCAAUCUCCUUUUAGAGCCCAUAUCGACAAGGAGGUUUACGACCUCGAUGUUGGAUCAGGACAUCCUAAUGGUGCAGCUCGCUAUUAAGGGUCCGUUUGUUCAACGGUUAAAGUCCUACGUGAUCUGAGUUCAAACCGGAC